CGUGAUUUACUAUACAAAGAGGCUGACAAAUCAACGUGUUUUUUUUUUUCUUUCUUUCUUCUUGUAGGGUAAUAUAGGUUUUCGAAAUAGAACACUUUCUGAAUUACGAAAGCUAAAAUAUGCGAAAGCCAAUUCGUAGCAAAUAAAAAUAACAAUCUGGGGUCAGUCUUUAUUUAAAUUGUUAGACUUUGAGAGUAGAAAUAUUUUGAUGCAACAAUUUUGAAGCACUUGCCCGCUUUGGGGUUAGAUUUACACGGUGUUGUUGAUGCAAGGAAAAAUGACAUCUGACACGUGCGAAAGAAAGCAUCUCGUCCUGAUAAACCAAAACAAACCAAGAAACAGACAAACGCGCGAAACACGGCAAUGAUAACAACUCCAGGUUCGUCUUAAAAGAGGCACUUCCCUCAAGAUAAAUAGAUUUAACUAUAUAGGGUAAUUAGUAUAAAUCGUGAGUCAGGACUAAAGAGUUUAUUGUAUUCUCUUUAUGAUAAAACAUGUUGCGGAUAAGCUUAUAUGGACGUUUCUAGCGCAGAAUUCCUAAUAGAGAAAAAAAAUACAAGGAGGCGAAGCGACAGAGAGGCCGAAAAUGGGCUUGUGCUACACGUUGUUACGGAGCCACGUUUCUACGGUCUCCUCGUUGGCCUGUAACCAUGCGAUAUUGGUUAAUGUGCGCUCCUCAGACUGUUUGCGUGCGUUCUCGCUGGUCCCGGCAUCAGUCGACUUGUAAAACACCCUCAUCUAAUGGAAAAUAUAACGAAAAUAAGGGAUUGCGACGACAGCAUAAAGUAAUGAUGACGAUGGUAGAGGAAAUAAGAGUAUUGUCAUAGUAUGAUGGGUAAUUAUGCUUAUACUUAUGUAUUAUACAAGGAAUAACGAUGAGAACUACAUCUCACCAUGCCUAUAACGAUCAUGAUUAUAAGUACCAUCAUCACCUGUAGAUGUUUGUGGUGUUUGAAGGUCAUGAUUGUGAUCAUCAUUAUAAUAAUAGUGAUAUUGAUUAUGAUGAUGAUGAAAUGAUGUCUAAUGAUUUCUCUGAUGAUCAUAAUCGCAAUUAUUAUUUAUUCUUAUGAUAACGCUGGUGGGGAUUUAGAAAAGGGACCUUAAGCAAGGACGACGGCGACGGCUAGGACAACGAGAUCGAAAAAGACGUGUUCGCGCUUGGCGAUCAAUUAUAAUUUAAUUGCAAAACGUUAGAGUCAGAGACAGAUAAAAAUAAACUGAGGACAUUAUUUCUACAGCAGCGAACGUAGUUAGUGGAGUUUACAGAGCAAACGUUCGCGUCUUCAAUUGACCGUGAAAAUUGGAGAUUUACGUCGUGGUUUUACGAAAAACGGCUUAAAUGUAUCAAACAGAACGCGUUUCUACGUGCUGCUAUUGAAUUCUGAAUAAAAUCCCAUUGUUUUCUGCCGUCAGCGUCCGCGUUGACGACGUCGUUGCUUAAGGUUCCUAUUGUGGCGCUAAGGGACGUUGUGUCAUAGAUUUAUUUAACUUAAGACGAUGACGAUUUUGAUGUCGGUGAUAUCAAGUGAAAAUAAGUGAGAUAACAAAAA